rnacentral:rRNA from 1 species
GACGAACCGUCCGAACGUUAUUCGGAAUCACUGGGCUUAAAGGGUGCGUAGGCGGCGCGGAAAGUUGGGUGUGAAAUCCCUCGGCUUAACCGAGGAACUGCGCCCAAAACUACCGUGCUUGAGGGAGAUAGAGGUGAGCGGAACUUAGGGUGGAGCGGUGAAAUGCGUUGAUAUCCUAAGGAACACCGGUGGCGAAAGCGGCUCACUGGAUCUCUUCUGACGCUGAGGCACGAAAGCUAGGGUAGCGAACGGG